rnacentral:rRNA from 1 species
CAGAAGGGAGCUUGCUCCCGGAUGUUAGCGGCGGACGGGUGAGUAACACGUGGGUAACCUGCCUGUAAGACUGGGAUAACUCCGGGAAACCGGAGCUAAUACCGGAUAGUUCCUUGAACCGCAUGGUUCAAGGAUGAAAGACGGUUUCGGCUGUCACUUACAGAUGGACCCGCGGCGCAUUAGCUAGUUGGUGGGGUAAUGGCUCACCAAGGCGACGAUGCGUAGCCGACCUGAGAGGGUGAUCGGCCACACUGGGACUGAGACACGGCCCAGACUCCUACGGGAGGCAGCAGUAGGGAAUCUUCCGCAAUGGACGAAAGUCUGACGGAGCAACGCCGCGUGAGUGAUGAAGGUUUUCGGAUCGUAAAGCUCUGUUGUUAGGGAAGAACAAGUGCGAGAGUAACUGCUCGCACCUUGACGGUACCUAACCAGAAAGCCACGGCUAACUACGUGCCAGCAGCCGCGGUAAUACGUAGGUGGCAAGCGUUGUCCGGAAUUAUUGGGCGUAAAGGGCUCGCAGGCGGUUUCUUAAGUCUGAUGUGAAAGCCCCCGGCUCAACCGGCGAGGGUCAUUGGAAACUGGGAAACUUGAGUGCAGAAGAGGAGAGUGGAAUUCCACGUGUAGCGGUGAAAUGCGUAGAGAUGUGGAGGAACACCAGUGGCGAAGGCGACUCUCUGGUCUGUAACUGACGCUGAGGAGCGAAAGCGUGGGGAGCGAACAGGAUUAGAUACCCUGCUAGUCCACGCCGUAAACGAUGAGUGCUAAGUGUUAGGGGGUUUCCGCCCCUUAG